GUUAGCGGCGGACGGGUGGAGUAACACGUGGGUAACCUACCUAUAAGACUGGGACAACUUCGGGAAACCGGAGCUAAUACCGGAUAAUAUGUUGAACCGCAUGGUUCAAUAGUGAAAGAUGGUUUUGCUAUCACUUAUAGAUGGACCCGCGCCGUAUUAGCUAGUUGGUGAGGUAACGGCUCACCAAGGCAACGAUACGUAGCCGACCUGAGAGGGUGAUCGGCCACACUGGAACUGAGACACGGUCCAGACUCCUACGGGAGGCAGCAGUAGGGAAUCUUCCGCAAUGGGCGAAAGCCUGACGGAGCAACGCCGCGUGAGUGAUGAAGGUCUUAGGAUCGUAAAACUCUGUUAUUAGGGAAGAACAAACGUGUAAGUAACUGUGCACGUCUUGACGGUACCUAAUCAGAAAGCCACGGCUAACUACGUGCCAGCAGCCGCGGUAAUACGUAGGUGGCAAGCGUUAUCCGGAAUUAUUGGGCGUAAAGCGCGCGUAGGCGGUUUUUUAAGUCUGAUGUGAAAGCCCACGGCUCAACCGUGGAGGGUCAUUGGAAACUGGAAAACUUGAGUGCAGAAGAGGAAAGUGGAAUUCCAUGUGUAGCGGUGAAAUGCGCAGAGAUAUGGAGGAACACCAGUGGCGAAGGCGACUUUCUGGUCUGUAACUGACGCUGAUGUGCGAAAGCGUGGGGAUCAAACAGGAUUAGAUACCCUGGUAGUCCACGCCGUAAACGAUGAGUGCUAAGUGUUAGGGGGUUUCCGCCCCUUAGUGCUGCAGCUAACGCAUUAAGCACUCCGCCUUGGG
rnacentral:rRNA from 1 species